UUUACAGAAAUCAUCUUACUUUAU
rnacentral:snRNA from 1 species